GACGAACGCUGGCGGCGUGCUUAACACAUGCAAGUCGAACGGAAAGGCCCUGCUUUUGUGGGGUGCUCGAUUGGCGAACGGGUGAGUAACACGUGAGUAACCUGCCCUUGACUUUGGGAUAACUUCAGGAAACUGGGGCUAAUACCGGAUAGGAUCUCCUGCUGCAUGGUGGGGGUUGGAAAGUUUCGGCGGUUGGGGAUGGACUCGCGGCUUAUCAGCUUGUUGGUGGGGUAGUGGCUUACCAAGGCUUUGACGGGUAGCCGGCCUGAGAGGGUUACCGGCCACAUUGGGACUGAGAUACGGCCCAGACUCCUACGGGAGGCAGCAGUGGGGAAUAUUGCACAAUGGGCGGAAGCCUGAUGCAGCAACGCCGCGUGCGGGAUGACGGCCUUCGGGUUGUAAACCGCUUUCGACUGUGACGAAGCGUGAGUGACGGUAAUGGGUAAAGAAGCACCGGCUAACUACGUG
rnacentral:rRNA from 1 species